CCUCCUUUUCUUGGCAGGGACUGGGCUUGUGGUUCCACUCCCUGUAAUGUACAGAGGAAGAGGGAAAGGGUUCUGCCCUCCUCGGCAUCCUGUCUUCGGUGCCAGUAGUUUCCCAUCCUCUGGUUCUAUCCUCAAGCAACAAGACACAG
ensembl:snoRNA